rnacentral:rRNA from 1 species
GACGUAGGGCGCGAGCGUUGUCCGGAUUUAUUGGGCGUAAAGAGCUCGUAGGCGGCUUGUUGCGUCGGCUGUGAAAUCCCGUGGCUUAACUGCGGGCUUGCAGCUGAUACGGGCGGGCUGGAGUUCGGUAGGGGAGACUGGAAUUCCUGGUGUAGCGGUGGAAUGCGCAGAUAUCAGGAGGAACACCGAUGGCGAAGGCAGAUCUCUGGGCCGUAACUGACGCUGAGGAGCGAAAGCAUGGGGGAGCGAACAGG